rnacentral:lncRNA from 1 species
UAAAAGGUAAUGAUAUUAUUAUACAACAACAAAGUGGACCUCACAGCCUGAGGCCUAGGCACAAGAAUGGAUAACGCUCACAUAGACAUGACAAAAUUUUAAAAGACCAAAGAAAGGCACGAGCCAAAUCAAAAGAUUAAUAACAAAAACAACACAAAACAAAACAGAACCAAACAGAGGAAUUAGAACCCCACAGCCCGGGGACAAGCAAAGAAAGGAAAGACAAAAGGAAGCAACUAAAUAAG